rnacentral:rRNA from 1 species
GGACCGGCUGGGUACGCGCCAGUGAUCGAGCGCAGCUCGCGUGCUCUAGAUUCAGUCUGAUCCUGGCUCAGGAUGAACGCUGGCGGCGUGCCUAACACAUGCAAGUCGAACGAAGCAUCCCGCCCGAAGAAGAGGAGAGCUUGCUCAAAUCGGAUUCAAUUGGGAUGACUUAGUGGCGGACGGGUGAGUAACGCGUGGGUAACCUGCCGUAUACAGGGGGAUUACAUUUAGAAAUGACUGCUAAUACCGCAUAAGCGCACAGUAUCGCAUGAUACAGUGUGAAAAGCCGAGAUGGCCCCCCGACGGACCCGCGUCUGAUUAGCCAGUUGGCAUGUUAACGGCCUACCAAAGCACCGCUCACUAGCCGGCCUGAGAGCCCCGAACGGCCACAUUGGGACUGAGACACGGCCCAAACUCCUACGGGAGGCAGCAGUGGGGGAUAUUGCACAAUGGGGGAAACCCUGAUGCAGCGACGCCGCGUGAGUGAAGAAGUAUUUCGGUAUUGUAAAGCUCUAUCAGCAGGAAGAAAAUGACGUACUGACUAGAGCUCGGCUAAUACUGCAGCAGCGCGGUAUACGUACGGACAGCGUAUCGAUUUACUGGGUGUAAGGGCGUAACGUUGGCCAGCUGAGUGAAAGAGUGGCUCACCCCACUCUUGAAACUGGGGUAAUAAUGC